UUACUUCUUUUUUUGAGCUGUGCUAUGCAGGUGUAUACCUUCAGCCCUGUCUGGGUCAUUGAGCCUUACACCACAGCUUUAUCUCCUGUGGCUUUUGUAAGGGCUGGGCAUGCCUGGGGUUGUUGCAGGUCUUGUCUCUAACUCAGCUCCUGUGGGUUAAUGCCCCUUGGUAUUCCCACAGCUUAUGGAGGCACCUCCUUGGACCCUGCUUGAAUCCUCCCAGCUUUUGAUGAGCUGCUAGCCCUUGCUGCUCCUUACCAAGUAAUGCUAGGUUCAAGAGAUCCACCCUAUCUGAUGCCAUGCACAAUUAUUCAGCUGGCUGCCUCCACCCACUUUCAAAGAGAAUUGGCUGGGCUGCUUUCUCUGGAUCACUGAACGGUUGAGAAAUGAGUUAACACCAAAGACCCUGAGAGAGGCAGCAAUCUCAUCUACCAAAUGAGGAAGUGAGUUCUCUGAAAAUCUGUAGAGGUAUAUGCAUCUUCUCUGAAGAAAUAUAAAAAUUGGACUGCACUGGCAAGAUAACCAGGAGGAUUAAAUGUGUACCAGCUUACUGUUUCACAGAAGAACUUCAGACUUGGUCUCUAGCCUUCCCUCAAACCAUCUUCUCCAGGAUACCUCGUCCAGACAAAAAAGAAAAGUUUUCCUAUUUCCUUUCACAAGCUAUGUGCAGGGAACUGAAAGAUGUCUAGAGAGGUGACUACCACAAAGAAAGACAUGCUUUCAGCCUUCUCUGAGAUGCCCCCAGUCCUUGUCACUGUCUGGUUUCCCUGUCAGACAGAUUUAGUGCACUGAACUUAUAACUCCUGGUAAAGAGACUAGACAUAAACCUUCCAGUUUGUUGCAUGAUGGAAUUACUCUGCUGUAAACGAGCAAUGAAUAAAUGUACUAAAGGAAAGCA